UAGGGAAGCACGUGAGCUGACUGUCAAGAAAAGCCGCUAUUGUUUGCAGGAUACCCGUACCGUAAACCGACACAGGUGGAUGAGGAGAGAAUCCUAAGGCCGACGGGAGAAGCAUUGUUAAGGAACUCGGCAAAAUGACUCCGUAACUUCGGGAGAAGGAGUGCCAGUAAGAUGGCCGCAGAGAAUUGGCCCAAGCAACUGUUUAGCAAAAACACAGGUCUAUGCAAAACCGAAAGGUGAGGUAUAUGGGCUGACGCCUGCCCGGUGCUGGAAGGUUAAGGGGAGAGGCUAGCGCAAGCGAAGCUUUGAACUUAAGCCCCAGUAAACGGCGGCCGUAACGAUAACGGUCCUAAGGUAGCGAAAUUCCUUGUCGGGUAAGUUCCGACCCGCACGAAGGGCGUAAUGAUUUGGGCACUGUCUCAACAAUGCACCCGGUGAAAUUGAAAUACCAGUGAAGAUGCUGGUUACCUGCGCCAGGACGGAAAGACCCCAUGGAGCUUUACUCCAGCUUGAUACUGGGAUUCGGUAUUGCAUGUACAGGAUAGGUGGGAGGCUAGGAAAUGGUAACGCCAGUUGCCAUGGAGCCGAUGUUGGGAUACCACCCUUGCAGUACUGGGUUUCUAACCAGCAGCCGUGAUCCGGCUGGGGGACAAUGUCAGGUGGGGAGUUUGACUGGGGCGGUCGCCUCCGAAAGGGUAUCGGAGGCGCUCAAAGGUUCCCUCAGAAUGGUUGGAAACCAUUCGAAGAGUGCAAAGGCAGAAGGGAGCUUGACUGCGACACCGACGGGUGGAGCAGGUACGAAAGUAGGACUUAGUGAUCCGGUGGUAUAAAGUGGGAUUGCCAUCGCUCAACGGAUAAAAGCUACCCUGGGAUAACAGGCUUAUCACUCCCAAGAGUUCACAUCGACGGAGUGGUUUGGCACCUCGAUGUCGGCUCAUCGCAUCCUGGGGCUGAAGUAGGUCCCAAGGGUUGGGCUGUUCGCCCAUUAAAGCGGUACGCGAGCUGGGUUCAGAACGUCGUGAGACAGUUCGGUCCCUAUCCGGCGUGGGCGUAAGAUAUUUGAGAGGAGCUGUCCUUAGUACGAGAGGACCGGGAUGGACUGGCCGCUGGUGUAUCUGUUGUCUUACCAAAGGCAUAGCAGAGUAGCCAAGCCGGGAAGGGAUAAACGCUGAAGGCAUCUAAGCGUGAAGCCCCCCUCAAGAUGAGAUAUCUCAUAACGUCAAGUUAGUAAGACCCCUUGAAGACGACGAGGUAGAUAGGGCAGAGGUGGAAGUGUGGUAACACAUGGAGCUGACUGUUACUAAUAGGUCGAGGGCAUAACC
rnacentral:rRNA from 1 species